rnacentral:rRNA from 1 species
ACGGUACCUACAGAAGAAGCACCGGCCAACUACGUGCCAGCAGCCGCGGUAAUACGUAGGGUGCGAGCGUUGUCCGGAAUUAUUGGGCGUAAAGGGCUCGUAGGCGGUUUGUCGCGUCAUGAGUGAAAUCCGGGUGCUUAACGCCUGGCUUGCUUGUGAUACGGGCAGACUGGAGGUAUGUAGGGGAGAACGGAAUUCCUGGUGUAGCGGUGAAAUGCGCAGAUAUCAGGAGGAACACCGGUGGCGAAGGCGGUUCUCUGGGCAUUACCUGACGCUGAGGAGCGAAAGUGUGGGGAGCGAACAGGAUUAGAUACCCUGGUAGUCCACACUGUAAACGUUGGGCGCUAGGUGUGGGACCCUUUCCACGGGUUCUGUGCCGUAGCUAACGCAUUAAGCGCCCCGCCUGGGGAGUACGGCCGCAAGGCUAAAACUCAAAGGAAUUGACGGGGGCCCGCACAAGCGGCGGAGCAUGCGGAUUAAUUCGAUGCAACGCGAAGAACCUUACCUGGGUUUUGACAUACAGAGUUAACUUCUAGAGAUAGAAGGUCCGUAAGGGU